rnacentral:snRNA from 1 species
GAACUUGAUUGUCAGACCUUGUAUACUAAAACUGGAAUAUACAGAGAAUAUUAGCAUGACCCCUGCACAAAGAUGACGUUCAAAUUCAUGAAGUACUUUUAAGGUUU